rnacentral:rRNA from 1 species
UACGAAGGGGGCUAGCGUUGUUCGGAUUUACUGGGCGUAAAGCGCACGUAGGCGGAUCGUUAAGUCGGGGGUGAAAUCCUGGAGCUCAACUCCAGAACUGCCUUCGAUACUGGCGAUCUUGAGUCCGGAAGAGGUGAGUGGAACUCCUAGUGUAGAGGUGGAAUUCGUAGAUAUUAGGAAGAACACCAGUGGCGAGGGCGGCUAUCUGGACCGUAACUGACGCUGAGGCGCGAAGGCGUGGGGAGCAAACAGG